rnacentral:rRNA from 1 species
GCGGAAGAUGUAACGGGGCUAAACCAUGCACCGAAGCUGCGGCAGCGAACGUAUCACCCAAGACAACUUUACGGAGUUGACGAUUGACGGAGCGAAGCGACGUCAAAGCGUUCAUUAAAGUCGAGUUGGCUUAGGGAUACGUUCGUUGGGUAGGGGAGCGUUCUGUAAGCCUGUGAAGGUGUGUCGUGAGGCAUGCUGGAGGUAUCAGAAGUGCGAAUGCUGACAUAAGUAACGAUAAAGCGGGUGAAAAGCCCGCUCGCCGGAAGACCAAGGGUUCCUGUCCAACGUUAAUCGGGGCAGGGUGAGUCGACCCCUAAGGCGAGGCCGAAAGGCGUAGUCGAUGGGAAACGGGUUAAUAUUCCCGUACUUGGUGUUACUGCGAAGGGGGGACGGAGAAGGCUAUGUUGGCCGGGCGACGGUUGUCCCGGUUUAAGCGUGUAGGUGUGUGUUCCAGGUAAAUCCGGUUCACUUUAACACUGAGGCGUGACGACGAGGCACUACGGUGCUGAAGCAACAAAUGCCCUGCUUCCAGGAAAAGCCUCUAAGCAUCAGGUAACACGAAAUCGUACCCCAAACCGACACAGGUGGUCAGGUAGAGAAUACCAAGGCGCUUGAGAGAACUCGGGUGAAGGAACUAGGCAAAAUGGUGCCGUAACUUCGGGAGAAGGCACGCUGACACGUAGGUGAAGUGAUUUACUCAUGGAGCUGAAGUCAGUCGAAGAUACCAGCUGGCUGCAACUGUUUAUUAAAAACACAGCACUGUGCAAACACGAAAGUGGACGUAUACGGUGUGACGCCUGCCCGGUGCCGGAAGGUUAAUUGAUGGGGUCAGCGUAAGCGAAGCUCCUGAUCGAAGCCCCGGUAAACGGCGGCCGUAACUAUAACGGUCCUAAGGUAGCGAAAUUCCUUGUCGGGUAAGUUCCGACCUGCACGAAUGGCGUAAUGAUGGCCAGGCUGUCUCCACCCGAGACUCAGUGAAAUUGAACUCGCUGUGAAGAUGCAGUGUACCCGCGGCAAGACGGAAAGACCCCGUGAACCUUUACUAUAGCUUGACACUGAACAUUGAGCCUUGAUGUGUAGGAUAGGUGGGAGGCUUUGAAGUGUGGACGCCAGUCUGCAUGGAGCCGACCUUGAAAUACCACCCUUUAAUGUUUGAUGUUCUAACGUGGACCCGUAAUCCGGGUUGCGGACAGUGUCUGGUGGGUAGUUUGACUGGGGCGGUCUCCUCCUAAAGAGUAACGGAGGAGCACGAAGGUUGGCUAAUCCUGGUCGGACAUCAGGAGGUUAGUGCAAUGGCAUAAGCCAGCUUGACUGCGAGCGUGACGGCGCGAGCAGGUGCGAAAGCAGGUCAUAGUGAUCCGGUGGUUCUGAAUGGAAGGGCCAUCGCUCAACGGAUAAAAGGUACUCCGGGGAUAACAGGCUGAUACCGCCCAAGAGUUCAUAUCGACGGCGGUGUUUGGCACCUCGAUGUCGGCUCAUCACAUCCUGGGGCUGAAGUAGGUCCCAAGGGUAUGGCUGUUCGCCAUUUAAAGUGGUACGCGAGCUGGGUUUAGAACGUCGUGAGACAGUUCGGUCCCUAUCUGCCGUGGGCGCUGGAGAACUGAGGGGGGCUGCUCCUAGUACGAGAGGACCGGAGUGGACGCAUCACUGGUGUUCGGGUUGUCAUGCCAAUGGCACUGCCCGGUAGCUAAAUGCGGAAGAGAUAAGUGCUGAAAGCAUCUAAGCACGAAACUUGCCCCGA